CACGAACCGUACAAACGUUAUUCGGAAUUAUUGGGCUUAAAGGGUGCGUAGGCGGCGCUGUAAGUCGGGUGUGAAAUCCCACGGCUCAACCGUGGAAUUGCGCCCGAUACUGCAGUGCUCGAGGGAGACAGGGGUGAGUGGAACUGAUGGUGGAGCGGUGAAAUGCGUUGAUAUCAUCAGGAACACCGGUGGCGAAAGCGGCUCACUGGGUCUCUUCUGACGCUGAGGCACGAAAGCUAGGGUAGCGAACGGG
rnacentral:rRNA from 1 species